GCCGAACCAAGCCGAGCCGCAAGCCGAGUGAGCCGAGCCGCGAGCCGAACCAAGCCGAGCCGAGCCGAGCCGAGCCGAGCCGAGCUGAGCCGAGCCGAGCCGAGCCACCUAAGCCUUCUUUCCUCCACUUCGGUUCACGGUAGUACAGAGUUGACGCUUAAGUUCUCGGGUUCCGCGGCAGGCCUGGUUGGAGAUAGUUUCCUUUCCUUGGGUGGAUCUGUUGAGCGUAGAUUUCGAUCGAGG